rnacentral:rRNA from 1 species
UACGGAGGGAGCUAGCGUUGUUCGGAAUUACUGGGCGUAAAGCGCACGUAGGCGGCUUUCUAAGUCAGGGAUGAAAUCCCGGGGCUCAACCCCGGAACUGCCCUUGAAACUGGAUGGCUAGAAUCCUGGAGAGGCGAGUGGAAUUCCGAGUGUAGAGGUGAAAUUCGUAGAUAUUCGGAAGAACACCAGUGGCGAAGGCGACUCGCUGGACAGGUAUUGACGCUGAGGUGCGAAAGCGUGGGGAGCAAACAGG